UACGAAGGGUGCAAGCGUUACUCGGAAUUACUGGGCGUAAAGCGUGCGUAGGCGGUUUGUUAAGUCAGAUGUGAAAGCCCCGGGCUCAACCUGGGAAUUGCAUUUGAAACUGGCGAGCUAGAGUGUGGUAGAGGGUGGUGGAAUUCCCGGUGUAGCAGUGAAAUGCGUAGAGAUCGGGAGGAACAUCUGUGGCGAAGGCGGCCACCUGGACCAACACUGACGCUGAGGCACGAAAGCGUGGGGAGCAAACAGG
rnacentral:rRNA from 1 species